rnacentral:tRNA from 1 species
AGGGUGAUCGUUCAAUGGUUAGGACUGCGGUCUCCAAAACCGCCAAUCUAGGUUCGAGUCCUAGUCGCCCUGCCA